AACGUAGGUACCGAGCGUUAUCCGGAUUUACUGGGCGUAAAGCGCGUUCAGGCGGUUUGGCAAGUCGGGCAUGGAAUCUCUCGGCUCAACCGGGAGAGGUUGUCCGAUACUUCCAGACUUGAGGGCAGUAGAGGGUGGUGGAAUUCCGGGUGUAGUGGUGAAAUGCGUAGAUAUCCGGAGGAACACCAGUGGCGAAAGCGGCCACCUGGACUGCACCUGACGCUGACACGCGAAAGCUAGGGGAGCGAACGGG
rnacentral:rRNA from 1 species